UACGUAUGGAGCAAGCGUUAUCCGGAUUUACUGGGUGUAAAGGGAGCGCAGGCGGCUUUGCAAGUCUGAUGUGAAAGGCCGGGGCUCGACCCCGGGACUGCAUUGGAAACUGUAAAGCUAGAGUGCCGGAGAGGUAAGCGGAAUUCCUAGUGUAGCGGUGAAAUGCGUAGAUAUUAGGAGGAACACCAGUGGCGAAGGCGGCUUACUGGACGGCAACUGACGCUGAGGCUCGAAAGCGUGGGGAGCAAACAGG
rnacentral:rRNA from 1 species